ensembl:lncRNA
CACGACUUUGGCCUUGAGAGCGAUAAGAAGCGAUCGCCUCAUCCUGCAGGCGAAAGAUAUCUGCAAGCGAAGAGACUAGAACACCCAAGGCCGCUUUCCUUUUAUGGAGUUGUUUUUCUGCUAAUGCAGCACUGUCCUCACAACCCCCUCCUGUGUCCGGUUGUCUUCAUUCUCCGCCAGCCUGGAUCCGCUCCAGGCCAAACUGGAACGGGUGGGAGGACAUCGGCCGUGGUCUGAGUGAACGGAGUUUGGACAAAAGCUGUGUGCACACAAAAACAAGGACAGCUGUUACUGCUUUCAUCGGGAACCGAGACUGCUUGCAGCCGACCCCUGGGCAGGGUGGUGCCUGGACUCUUUUCUCCUCAUCUGCAAUGACAGAUAAAGACAAAUGAUAAGACCCGAGGAGUUUUUCGAGCCAGGCUUCGACACGUCUCUGUGUUCCUUUGAAUGUUACUUAUUUUUGUGUGUUGACCCAUUUAAGAUGGGUCAAAAGGGGGAUUUGAAGAAAAUAUAAUUUGAUCAAACAUUAUUCAGCUUUAAAUAUUGUUCAGCUUUAAAGUUACUGUGCAACUGUGUAAUAAAAAUGUGUGCUCACGACUUUGGCCUUGAGAGCGAUAAGAAGCGAUCGCCUCAUCCUGCAGGCGAAAGAUAUCUGCAAGCGAAGAGACUAGAACACCCAAGGCCGCUUUCCUUUUAUGGAGUUGUUUUUCUGCUAAUGCAGCACUGUCCUCACAACCCCCUCCUGUAAGUUUUAGAGAAUAUAUACCCAUCCUCACAGCAAAUAUUAGGAAUCUCCUGAUGUGAGCUGUUUGAGAGGUUGUCUCUGUCUCAAUAAAAGUUCACUGAUUCCC